rnacentral:rRNA from 1 species
GAGUUUGAUCUUGGCUCAGGAUGAACGCUGGCGGCGUGCCUAAUACAUGCAAGUCGAACGGGAUAAGCAAUUAUCCAGUGGCGACCGGGUGAGUAACACGUAGCUGACCUACCCUUCGCAGGGGGAUAACGGGUCGAAAGACCUGCUAAUACCGCAUACGCUCGCGGGGACUAGAAUCCCGUGAGGAAAACUCAGGUGGCGAAGGAGGGGGCUGCGGCCCAUCAGCUAGUUGGCGAGGUAAUGGCUCACCAAGGCGAAGACGGGUAGCUGGUCUGAGAGGAUGAUCAGCCACACUGGUACUGGAACACGGACCAGACUCCUACGGGAGGCAGCAGUGGGGAAUCUUGGUCAAUGGGCGAAAGCCUGAACCAGCGACGCCGCGUGAGUGAUGAAGGCCUUCGGGUUGUAAAGACUCUGUGGGGCGGAGACGAAAGACCUACGUUCUAACAGGACGUAGUUGACGGUAUCGCCUUAGCAAGCACCGGCUAACUCU